UAGGGGCAUGGUUUAUUGAAC
rnacentral:piRNA from 1 species